rnacentral:lncRNA from 1 species
AGCCCACCCAAACCUCACACCCCAAAAAAGGUAUUUGGACCCUCUCUUUCUUAGUAAUCUCAUGAUGGAAACCUCUGAGAGGUUGGCGCACAAAAUUCAAGCAAUUUUAUGGUUGUCACACACAUGGAAUAGGGAUGAGAUAAGUGUUUGUUUGAUUCAAAUUCAAACUCCCUUUGAAUUUCAAAUCAAAUGGCACUUAGCCCAUCCAUAUCCAGAUG